rnacentral:rRNA from 1 species
ACGCUCGACACCUACGGGAGCAGCAGUGGGGAAUAUUGCACAAUGGGGGAAACCCUGAUGCAGCGACGCCGCGUGAGUGAAGAAGUAUUUCGGUAUGUAAAGCUCUAUCAGCAGGGAAGAAACUGACGGUACCUGACUAAGAAGCACCGGCUAAAUACGUGCCAACAGCCGCGGUAAUCUGAGCGGGCUGGCAAGGC